AUUGAACGCUGGCGGAAUGCUUUACACAUGCAAGUCGAACGGCAGCACGGGGCAACCUGGUGGCGAGUGGCGAACGGGUGAGUAAUAUAUCGGAACGUGCCCAAUCGUGGGGGAUAACGUAGCGAAAGUUACGCUAAUACCGCAUACGAUCUACGGAUGAAAGCGGGGGAUCGCAAGACCUCGCGCGAAUGGAGCGGCCGAUGUCAGAUUAGGUAGUUGGUGGGGUAAAGGCUCACCAAGCCAACGAUCUGUAGCUGGUCUGAGAGGACGACCAGCCACACUGGAACUGAGACACGGUCCAGACUCCUACGGGAGGCAGCAGUGGGGAAUUUUGGACAAUGGGCGCAAGCCUGAUCCAGCCAUUCCGCGUGCAGGAUGAAGGCC
rnacentral:rRNA from 1 species